UACAGAGGUCUCAAGCGUUGUUCGGAUUCAUUGGGCGUAAAGGGUGCGUAGGUGGCGGGGUAAGUCAGGUGUGAAAUCUCGGAGCUCAACUCCGAAACUGCACUUGAUAUUGCCUUGCUCGAGUACUGGAGAGGAGAUUGGAAUUUACGGUGUAGCAGUGAAAUGCGUAGAUAUCGUAAGGAAGACCAGUGGCGAAGGCGGCUCUCUGGGACGGUACUGACGCUGAGACGCGAAAGCGUGGGGAGCGAACAGG
rnacentral:rRNA from 1 species